rnacentral:rRNA from 1 species
AGUGAACGCUGGCGGUAGGCCUAACACAUGCAAGUCGAACGGCAGCACAGUAAGAGCUUGCUCUUACGGGUGGCGAGUGGCGGACGGGUGAGGAAUACAUCGGAAUCUACUUUUUCGUGGGGGAUAACGUAGGGAAACUUACGCUAAUACCGCUUACGACCUACGGGUGAAAGCAGGGGAUCUUCGGACUUUGCGCGAUUGAAUGAGCCGAUGUCGGAUUAGCUAGUUGGCGGGGUAAAGGCCCACCAAGGCGACGAUCCGUAGCUGGUCUGAGAGGAUGAUCAGCCACACUGGAACUGAGACACGGUCCAGACUCCUACGGGAGGCAGCAGUGGGGAAUAUUGGACAAUGGGCGCAAGCCUGAUCCAGCCAUACCGCGUGGGUGAAGAAGGCCUUCGGGUUGUAAAGCCCUUUUGUUGGGAAAGAAAAGCAGCAGGUUAAUACCCCGCUGUUCUGACGGUACCCAAAGAAUAAGCACCGGCUAACUUCGUG